rnacentral:rRNA from 1 species
UGGGGAAUUUUGGACAAUGGGGGAAACCCUGAUCCAGCCAUCCCGCGUGUGCGAUGAAGGCCUUCGGGUUGUAAAGCACUUUUGGCAGGAAAGAAACGUCAUGGGUUAAUACCCCGUGAAACUGACGGUACCUGCAGAAUAAGCACCGGCUAACUACGUGCCAGCAGCCGCGGUAAUACGUAGGGUGCAAGCGUUAAUCGGAAUUACUGGGCGUAAAGCGUGCGCAGGCGGUUCGGAAAGAAAGAUGUGAAAUCCCAGAGCUCAACUUUGGAACUGCAUUUUUAACUACCGGGCUAGAGUGUGUCAGAGGGAGGUGGAAUUCCGCGUGCAGCAGUGAAAUGCGUAGAUAUGCGGAGGAACGCCGAUGGCGAAGGCAGCCUCCUGGGAUAACACUGACGCUCAUGCACGAAAGCGUGGGGAGCAAACAGG